AGGUCCCACUCCAAGUUUUGCCCAAAUCUUUCUGAUUGGUGGAACUUAAAUCACACCCAAAAUCCCAGCUGCCAGCAGAGCUGUGAGAUUUCAUCUUUCCGACCUCUGUGUGCUACAUGGGAGUUGGAGCACUUGCUGAUAAGCCCUGCAACCACCAUUGACAGGAUGUCCUCCACCUUUUCAAUCUGAUUUGCUCUUUGCCAUGCAGACCUGUGGAUGAAGAGCCAGAGUCCUCCAAGGUAAAUCUGGACUGAAUAUUUCUGUCCAUAAGACUGUUAGAAUCUCCCAGAGUGGGAUACUGACCCGUGAGGACCUCACCAGCAGCUGCUGUCUCUGCAGUCACAUAGAUGAGCCUCAGAAAUAACCACUGCUUGUGGUUUACUGUGUAUUCCUCCAGAUGUUUUUCUUUACACAUAUUAGUAAGUGUGGAGAGAGAGUGUGUGUGUUUUGUAAAUUUGAUUACACUGUGCAUUUCUUCUGACAUCCAUUUCACUUUAUCGUUGGAAAGUAAGCUCUGUGAGGGCAGAGAUUUCUGUUUAUUGUACUUGCUGUUAUAGCUCUUGUCUGUAACAGUGGCUGGCACAUGGUCACAUCACAGUAGAAGCUCAAUAUUUGUUGAAUGAAUGAAAAAA